UUUGAUGGCGACCGGCGCACGGGUGAGUAACACGUAUCCAACCUGCCGAUGACUCGGGGAUAGCCUUUCGAAAGAAAGAUUAAUACCUGAUAGCAUAAUGAUUCCGCAUGGUUUCAUUAUUAAAGGAUUCCGGUAAAGGAUGGGGAUGCGUUCCAUUAGGUUGUUGGUGAGGUAACGGCUCACCAAGCCUUCGAUGGAUAGGGGUUCUGAGAGGAAGGUCCCCCACAUUGGAACUGAGACACGGUCCAAACUCCUACGGGAGGCAGCAUG
rnacentral:rRNA from 1 species